rnacentral:rRNA from 1 species
AGUGAACGCUGGCGGUAGGCCUAACACAUGCAAGUCGAACGGCAGCACAGUAAGAGCUUGCUCUUACGGGUGGCGAGUGGCGGACGGGUGAGGAAUACAUCGGAAUCUACUUUUUCGUGGGGGAUAACGUAGGGAAACUUACGCUAAUACCGCAUACGACCUACGGGUGAAAGCAGGGGAUCUUCGGACCUUGCGCGAUUGAAUGAGCCGAUGUCGGAUUAGCUAGUUGGCGGGGUAAAGGCCCACCAAGGCGACGAUCCGUAGCUGGUCUGAGAGGAUGAGCAGCCACAGUGGAACUGAGACACGGUCCAGACUCCUACGGGAGGCAGCAGUGGGGAAUAUUGGACAAUGGGCGCAAGCCUGAUCCAGCCAUACCGCGUGGGUGAAGAAGGCCUUCGGGUUGUAAAGCCCUUUUGUUGGGAAAGAAAAGCAGCAGGUUAAUACCCCGCUGUUCUGACGGUACCCAAAGAAUAAGCACCGGCUAACUUCGU